rnacentral:lncRNA from 1 species
AGAGCAGUUCCUACUGACUUUCCAGGGAGCUGCAGACCCUUGCACCCAGGCUGAAACGGCUCUCCGUUCUCUGGCUGAAUUGCAGCACAUCCGUGGGGGGGCGUGAGAGGCACAUGCCACCCCAGGCUUGUGCGCGUGGCGGGGGCAGAUGCAGGCUGCCUAUCGUGGGGCUCAGGGCAGCCCUCCUGUACUGGCCGUGCCAUGAUGGUCUUUGGAGGACAUUAGCACCCCUGGAAGGCAGCCCUGGCCAUCUCCAUCACUUAAAUGAGAUGCAUCUUCCCCAGCCAGUGCCUGGCCUGGGAGCCCCUCAGAGAAAUCAGAUCUGCGGAGAAGCAGGGCCAGAAGGGACCUCCAGUGGUCACGUAGUCCAACCCCUUGCCUGAAGCAGGAUCACCGCAGUUUCCCCAUGCCCAUCAUCCAGCCCAGGGUGGGCCGGGAAGGGCGCAGGAGUUAAGAACUCGGGGAGGCCUGGAUGGGAAUCGCGCUGAUCCCCGGCUACCCCCAUCCCUGCUGCCCUCGAAUCAGAGGGCAAGGCCAGACCACCCGGUGCAAGACUUUCUGCAGGAGCCUGCCUGCUUGCCCCACUCCCAGCCAUCAGGUGAGGCUGCUGGCUGCCCAAAGCCACUGCGAACGAUUGCCCCGUAACACGAGAGCGCCAGGGACGUGAGUGGCUCCGCUCCCAUCUGCUUGCACAAGCUGCCAAGUUCAAAGGCGCUCCGGCAGCUGACGGGCUGGCCACCAGGUCACAGGCACACCCCAGAGACCCUUUCAUCAGAGCACAGGCCGCCGGUAAGGGGGAUUAAAUGCAUCCUCGUCAGACGGCAGCCUGCAGUGAGCGUCAGCCUGCAGUCCCCACGGAGGGGAGCCCGGUGACACGGCCGUAUAAAUAUCGACAGUGCGCGGGGCUGGCAGCAAUCGAGCCUCAGGACAGAGCCAGGCGGAUCUGGGGCAGGCGUAGGGCCAUGGCCAUGGCCAGGAACAAUGUCAGGGCACCAGUGAGAGCAUUUCUCCGAGCACCACCUCUUGUUGGCGUUACCCAACUGAGCCUCGCCAGGCAGGCGGAUGCCAUCCUUGCCAAGGUAAGGAGGACUCGAGGAGGGUGA